rnacentral:rRNA from 1 species
AUUGAACGCUGGCGGCAGGCCUAACACAUGCAAGUCGAAUGGUAACAGGAAACAGCUUGCUGUUUCGCUGACGAGUGGCGGACGGGUGUGUAAUGUCUGGGAAACUGCCUGAUGGAGGGGGAUAACUACUGGAAACGGUAGCUAAUACCGCAUAACGUCGCAAGACCAAAGAGGGGGACCUUCGGGCCUCUUGCCAUCAGAUGUGCCCAGAUGGGAUUAGCUAGUAGGUGGGGUAACGGCUCACCUAGGCGACGAUCCCUAGCUGGUCUGAGAGGAUGACCAGCCACACUGGAACUGAGACACGGUCCAGACUCCUACGGGAGGCAGCAGUGGGGAAUAUUGCACAAUGGGCGCAAGCCUGAUGCAGCCAUGCCGCGUGUAUGAAGAAGGCCUUCGGGUUGUAAAGUACUUUCAGCGGGGAGGAAGGGAGUAAAGUUAAUACCUUUGCUCAUUGACGUUACCCGCAGAAGAAGCACCGGCUAACUCCGUG